UUCUGACCCUUAGUUUCGUCUGUGCACAACUCGCUCAAAAUGGGCAACUCACUAAGUGUAUUUUGUUCCUGGUUCUGCCGCAGGUCCUGGCCAUGCCAUCGGCAACCUGCUCAUCUUGUCCAUGAGGCCUUCCCAGCUGGCCGGGCUCACCCGGCGGCUCCUGCACCUGUGCCUGCCCGGGGAAUCAUGGGCCAUUUCCCACUCCUCUUCAACCGUCAGCGACAUCUUGGGCCUUCUUUUCCAGUCAGGUGGGAUGGCGCCCCUAUGAGGCUGUGUCUUAUCCCUCAGAACACGGGCUCCCCACAGAGGGUCCUGCCUCCUGUGGUCUGGAGCCCCCCCUCAAGGAAGAAACCCAUGCUGUCUGCUUGCAACUACAUGAUGUUUGGACACCUCAGCCCUGUGAGGAUCCCUCAUCUCAGAGGCAAGUUUAACCUUCAACUUCCUUCAUUAGAUGAGCAGGUGAUCCCAGCCAGGCUCCCGAAGAUGGAGGUGAGGGCAGAAGAGCCCAAAGAAGCAAUGGAGGUGAAAGACCAGGUAGAGACCCAGGGGCAGGAGGACAAUAAAAGGGGCCCCUCUAGCAAUGGGGAAGCAGCCUCCACCUCUAGGCCCCUGGAGACUCAGGGAAACCUCACUUCCUCCUGGUACAAUCCCAGGCCCUUGGAGGGAAAUGUCCACCUCAAGAGCUUGAUAGAAAAGAACCAGACUGACAAGGCCCAGGUGCAUGCAGUGAGUUUCUACUCCAAGGGCCAUGGAGUCACCAGUUCACACAGCCUUGCUGGAGGCAUCCUUCCUUUUGGGAAGCCUGACCCACUUCCAACAGUGCUCCCUGCCCCAGUUCCGGGCUGCUCCCUGUGGCCAGAGAAGACGGCCUUGAAGGUGCUGGGUAAAGACCACCUGCCCAGCUCUCUAGGCUUGCUGAUGGUGGGGGAGGACAUGCAGCCCAAGGAUCCUGCAGCUCUUGGAUCAAGUAGGUCUUCUCCACCCAGAGCUGCCAGCCACAGGUCCCGCAAAAGAAAACUGCUGGAGCCACCGCUGCAGCUGCAACCGACCCCUCCCCUGCAGCUGAGGUGGGAUAGAGACGAGGGGCCCCCACCAGCUAAGUUUCCAUGUCUAUCUCAUGAGGCACUGUUGGUGGGUCAGGCUUCCCAAAGAGAAGGACACCUCCAGCAGGGCAACAUGUGUAAGAACAUGAGGGUGUUAAGUAGAACAUCAAAAUUCAGGAGACUAAGAGAGCUGCUUAGGAGGAGAAAGAAGAGACGGCAUGGCAGGCAUGGUGGCUCACACCUGUAAUCCAGCACUU